CUUUAAUCACUUGUUGUCCUUCAGUGUUCGUCUCUCCUUUCUCCCAGCCGGUAUCCAUUCACCUGUUGAUGGGAAAAAGAACGGAAGUGCGUUCAACCAUGCACUUCCGUGCGUUCCAUUGGUAAUAUCCCAUAUGUUGCAGGGGCCGAUAUGGCUGUGCGUUCCACCAUUGGAUAUAAUAUCAUUGCAUUUGUCCUCUGGUGGUGGCCAGGAGAAAUACAUGGUACUAACUUACAAGAAUGGAAAAGCAAU